CAAAGGUAGCAUAAUCAUUUGUCUACUAAUUAUAGACCUGCAUGAAAGGCAAAAUGAGGGCCCAACUGUCUCUUAUAAUAAAUCAAUUAAACUGAUCUCCUAGUAAAAAAGCUAGAAUCCUAACACAAGACCAGAAGACCCUGUGAAGCUUAAACUAAACUAUUAAACCAUGUAAUAACUAAUUUUGGUUGGGGCGACCUUGGAAAAAAAAAGAACUUCCAAACAUAAUAACUUCCACAUAUAAAAUUAGGCUAACAAGCCAUCUAAUGACCCAGCUAGACUGAUAAAUGAACCAAGUUACUCCAGGGAUAACAGCGCAAUCUUCUUUAAGAGCCCAUAUCAAAAAGAAGGUUUACGACCUCGAUGUUGGAUCAGGACAUCCUAAUGGUGCAGAAGCUAUUAAGGGUUCGUUUGUUCAACGAUUAAUAGU
rnacentral:rRNA from 1 species